AUUGAACGCUGGCGGCAGGCCUAACACAUGCAAGUCGAACGAGUGGCGGACGGAUGAGUAAUGUCUGGGAAACUGCCCGAUGGAGGGGGAUAACUACGGGAAACUGUAGCUAAUACCGCAUACCAUCGGAUGUGCCCAGAUGGGAUUAGCUAGUAGGUGGGGUAAAGGCUCACCUAGGCGACUAUCCCUAGCUGGUCUGAGAGGAUGAACAGCCACAAUGGAACAGAGACCCGGGCCAGACUCCUACGCGAGGCAGCAGUGGGGAAUAUUGCGCAAUGGUCGCAAGCCGGAUGCAGCCAUGCCGCGUGUAUGAAGAAGGCCCUCGGGUUGUAAAGUACUUUCAGCGGGGAGGCGUUACCCGCAGAAGAAGCACCGGCUAACGCCGUGCCAGCAGCCGCGGUAAUUC
rnacentral:rRNA from 1 species